rnacentral:rRNA from 1 species
UACGUAGGGUCCGAGCGUUGUCCGGAGUUACUGGGCGUAAAGCGCGCGCAGGCGGCGGUGUUGGCCCGGCGUGAAAGCCCCCGGCUCAACCGGGGAGAGUCGUCGGGGACCGCACCGCUUGAGGGCGGUAGGGGCUGGUGGAAUGCCUGGUGUAGUGGUGAAAUGCGUAGAGAUCAGGCAGAACACCUGGGGCGAAGGCGGCCAGCUGGGCCGUCCCUGACGCCUGAGGCGCGAAG